rfam:Sinomicrobium oceani strain CGMCC 1.12145 genome assembly, contig: IQ32DRAFT_scaffold00036.36
GGGGUCGACUGGUUUUGACAGCGGGUCGAAUUGAAAUGUAAGCAUGCAGAGCGCCGGGACACAGCUCUUAAAUCUCAUGUUUCACACCUUUUAAAUGGCGAGAAUAACUACGCUCUUGCUGCGUAAUCUGAAUUAUAGUAGGAUUUAGCCAAGUUUCCGCAAGGCGGAAAAGCAGGAUGUCUCCGGAUAGCCCUUGUUGACGGCGGUCCGCAAGGAGGCACCAUAAAAGUCAACAUAGAAACACUGUAGCUUCGUCAGUGUUUUAAACCUUAAGAAGCUAAGCAUAGGAUAGGCGGUUUUCGGUCAGCCCUAUGUCGAAAAACAAACGAAAACUAAGCACGUAGAAAGCAUUUUGAUUGCCUGUUUGGACGAGAGUUCGAUUCUCUCCGACUCCACUU